rnacentral:rRNA from 1 species
UACGUAGGGUCCGAGCGUUGUCCGGAAUUACUGGGCGUAAAGAGCUCGUAGGUGGUUUGUCGCGUUGUUCGUGAAAACUCACAGCUCAACUGUGGGCGUGCGGGUGAUAUGGGCAGACUUGAGUACUGCAGGGGAGACUGGAAUUCCUGGUGUAGCGGUGGAAUGCGCAGAUAUCAGGAAGAACACCCGUGGCGAAGGCGGCUCUCUGGGACGGUACUGACGCUGAGACGCGAAAGCGUGGGGAGCGAACAGG